rnacentral:rRNA from 1 species
UCUCUACCUCUAGUUUACGUUUUUUGGAUGUGUCUAGAGGGACAAUCUACGAAUAGUAGAGGGAGGCAAGAGGCAAUAACAGGUCUGUGAUGCCCUUUGAUGCCCUGGGCUGCACGCGUGCUACACUGACAAGUUCAACGAGUUUUGCUGCAUCGAUAGAUGUGGCCAAUCUGGAACGCUUGUCGUGUUGGGGAUUGGUGGUUGUAAGUCCACCAUGAACAAGGAAUUCCUAGUAGGUGCGAGUCAUCAUCUCGCGUCGAUUACGUCCCUGUCCUUUGUACACACCGCCCGUCGCUACUAUCGACGGACUCAUAGGCGAGCUUGCUGGAGGAAACAAGGGUGUGCGAGCCUGUGUGUCUGGAGAAAGUAAAAGUCG